rnacentral:rRNA from 1 species
UACGAAGGGGACUAGCGUUGCUCGGAAUGACUGGGCGUAAAGGGCGCGUAGGCGGUUUGGACAGUCAGAUGUGAAAUUCCUGGGCUCAACCUGGGGGCUGCAUUUGAUACGUUCGGACUAGAGUGGGGAAGAGGGUCGUGGAAUUCCCAGUGUAGAGGUGAAAUUCGUAGAUACUGGGAAGAACACCGGUGGCGAAGGCGGCGACCUGGUCCUUGACUGACGCUGAGGCGCGAAAGCGUGGGGAGCAAACAGG